rnacentral:rRNA from 1 species
CAGCCGCCGCGGGAAUACGAGGGGGGCAAGCGUUGUUCGGAAUUAUUGGGCGUAAAGGGUGCGUAGGCGGUUUGGCAAGUCUUGUGUGAAAUCUUCGGGCUCAACCCGAAGCCUGCACGAGAAACUACCGGGCUUGAGUAUUGGAGAGGUGAGUGGAAUUUCCGGUGUAGCGGUGAAAUGCGUAGAUAUCGGAAGGAACACCUGUGGCGAAAGCGGCUCACUGGACAAUAACUGACGCUGAUGCACGAAAGCUAGGGGAGCAAACAGGAUUAGAUACCCCCGUAGUCCCUGUCUCUUAUAC